rnacentral:rRNA from 1 species
CAGCCGCCGCGGGAAUACGUAGGUCCCGAGCGUUGUCCGGAUUUAUUGGGCGUAAAGCGAGCGCAGGCGGUUAGAUAAGUCUGAAGUUAAAGGCUGUGGCUUAACCAUAGUACGCUUUGGAAACUGUUUAACUUGAGUGCAAGAGGGGAGAGUGGAAUUCCAUGUGUAGCGGUGAAAUGCGUAGAUAUAUGAAGGAACACCGGUGGCGAAAGCAGCUCUCUGGCUUGUAACUGACGCUGAGGCUCGAAAGCGUGGGGAGCAAACAGGAUUAGAUACCCCGGUAGUCCCUGUCUCUUAUACA